UACUACGUCGUGUAAAUAUACAUGUUGACUCACUGUAGUGAAUGUGUUCACGUCUAAGUUGUGACAAUUGUCUUACUAUGGCUCAAACACAAAGCAACAUCAAGAAAACCUCCUCAAGAGAUUUACUCUCCUGUGGCACUGCGAAAGGAAUCCAUGAGAAACUACUAUUGAAGUCUAAAAGUGCUCCUCCACUGCAGACAGAGAGGAUGCCCAGAAGUAAUAGAGCUUCAAAGUUCCAGCCACCAUUCACUUGCAUUGUAUGGACCUACAGAGCUGAAAUAUUCUUCUAAAAAUCUUCAUUUGUGUUCUGCAGAAGAAAGAAAGUCAUUCACGUCUGGGAUGGCAUGAGGUUUUGGACAGAUUGCAAAGUUUCCUUCCCCAAAUCGCCCAGGCCAAUGAGUCUUUAAGACAUCAGAUGGAAGAAGUACCUGAUGGCUAUUUCGACAUUGAGAGUGUGGAGGAUGCAGAGAAAGUCAUUGAAAUGGAUGUGGCUCUUGUUGAGCUGGAAAACUCUGACAGCAGCAAUGAAGAUGAGUCCUCAUCAUCUUCAUCUGAAGAUGACAGCUCAGAAGAAGGCGUGGCCACUGUCACGGCAGAGACACUCAAACUACAAGGAGACAGAAAGAGAAAAUCCAAAAUCCAAAAUCCAGGUGCUGGAGAAAGAGGGAGAGUGAGAGUACACACUGCCCACUGGAACUGUGGAAUCGCAUUGGACUAACUUAAUUUCUGUGCCUAUGGAUGAAAUAUAUUACACUUCCAAGUGUGCUGGAAGCCUUGAGUCAGUUAUUGGUUUGACAUGAGCAAGGAUCUGUGAUUUUUAUGUCCUGCUGAGCAGGAAGACUAUGUGGAGGCAUUUGAUUAUCAGUGGUAUCUAUGCCAAAACAAAUGUCCCUCUGUUGAGUUCUGUUUGUUAUGGUUAUUGCAGAAAGUUAUAUGCAGUUGCAGAUAUUGAAAAUAUGCACAUUUUUCUUUCCAUUAAUUCUAUAAUAAGUGAAAGAUCAGUUUCCUUUUCUUAAAAAACAUUUCUUAGUUUUAGCCUUUUGAUAAAGUAAAACACAGUUUUUGUAAUUUUCA